rnacentral:rRNA from 1 species
CCUACGGGAGGCAGCAGUAGGGAAUAUUGCUCAAUGGGGGAAACCCUGAAGCAGCAACGCCGCGUGGAGGAUGAAGGUUUUCGGAUUGUAAACUCCUUUUGUUAGAGAAGAUAAUGACGGUAUCUAACGAAUAAGCACCGGCUAACUCCGUGCCAGCAGCCGCGGUAAUACGGAGGGUGCAAGCGUUAAUCGGAAUCACUGGGCGUAAAGAGCGCGUAGGCGGGAUAGCAAGUCAGAUGUGAAAUCCUAGGGCUUAACCAUAGAACUGCAUUUGAAACUGUUAUUCUAGAGUAUGGGAGAGGUAGGUGGAAUUCUUGGUGUAGGGGUAAAAUCCGUAGAGAUCAAGAGGAAUACUCAUUGCGAAGGCGACCUGCUAGAACAUAACUGACGCUGAUGCGCGAAAGCGUGGGGAGCAAACAGGAUUAGAUACCCCAGUAGUC